rnacentral:rRNA from 1 species
AAUAGAUACCCCUGGUAGUCCUAGCCGUAAACGAUGAACACUAGGCGUAGUCGGUAUCGACCCCGGCUGUGCCGUAGCUAACGCAUUAAGUGUUCCGCCUGGGGAGUACGGCCGCAAGGCUAAAACUCAAAGGAAUUGACGGGGGGCCCGCACAAGCAGCGGAGCGUGUGGUUUAAUUCGUCGCAACGCGAAGAACCUUACCAGGGCUUGACAUGUGGCGGAAAACGGCGGAAACGUCGUCCUCCCGCAAGGGACCGUCAUGCAGGUGUUGCAUGGCUGUCGUCAGCUCGUGUCGUGAGAUGUUGGGUUAAGUCCCGCAACGAGCGCAACCCCCGUGGCAUGUUGUAUCUCUCAUGCCAGACUGCCGAGAGAACUCGGAGGAAGGUGGGGAUGACGCCAAGUCAGCAUGGCCCUUACGUCCUGGGCUACACACACGCUACAAUGGCCGGUACAACGGGUUGCCAAACCGCGAGGUGGAGCUAAUCCCGUUAAAGCCGGUCUCAGUUCGGAUUGCAGGCUGCAACUCGCCUGCA